rnacentral:rRNA from 1 species
UACGUAGGGGGCAAGCGUUGGUCCGGAAUCAUUGGGCGUAAAGAGCGUGUAGGCGGUCCGGUCAGUCGGUUGUGAAAGUCAAGGGCUCAACCCCUUGAAUGCCGGCCGAUACUGCCGGGCUAGAGUCCGGAAGAGGUGAGUGGAAUUCCUGGUGUAGCGGUGAAAUGCGCAGAUAUCAGGAGGAACACCGAUGGCGAAGGCAGCUCACUGGGACGGUACUGACGCUGAGACGCGAAAGCGUGGGGAGCAAACAGG